GUACGAGAGGACCGGAGUGGACGAACCUCUGGUGUUCCGGUUGUCACGCCAGUGGCAUUGCCGGGUAGCUAUGUUCGGAAGAGAUAACCGCUGAAAGCAUCUAAGCGGGAAACUUGCCUCAAGAUGAGAUCUCACUGGGAUCUUGAAUCCCCUGAAGGGCCGUCGAAGACUACGACGUUGAUAGGUUGGGUGUGUAAGCGCUGUGAGGCGUUGAGCUAACCAAUACUAAUUGCCCGUGAGGCUUGACCAU
rnacentral:rRNA from 1 species